AUAAUAAAAGAUAGAAAUUAAGUUUGACUAUUUCCAUUUUUAUAACAUAUAAAUCAAUCUAAUUUGAGCAUUCAUUUUCAUUAAAAUAAAAAAUUAGUGUUGGCAUUUUAGGUAUAAGGAAACAAGUUAUGAGAGGUUGAAAACACAUAUCAAAAACAAAUGAAUAUAAAUGAAAAUAAGAACAUAACAGAGCACAUAACCCCUCUUUCGUCCGUCUUUUCCUGGGUUUCUCUCAAUUUCACUUUUCUUCUUAAACUCAUAUUCUACCAAUCCCUACUUCAUUGCAAAUAGACAAGCUAGCAUAUACACUCUCUCUUUUGGUGAAAUCAAACACACGAAAGACAUUAAAGCACAUGGUGGAACUAAGACAAUUUAAUCAAUACACAAACUGAGCAUAGAAAUCAGAGCAAGCUUGAUAAUCUCAACAAAACAGAUCGGUGAUUUGAAGAUGAAGGCUCAGAUGCUCAAAAACUUCGUUCGUGGCGGCGCUUCGAUUUCCCCGAAUCCCCCCCUCUCUCUCUAUUCUUCUUCUAUUUCUUUUAUACUUAGGUUUUGGAUUCGAUUUAGGGAAAGAUUAGAUUAGAUUAGGUUAUUAGUUUGAUUACGAAUCUGUUUGUAAUGUUAGUUUGAGAUUGUAAUUGAUUCGCUCCCGGAUUUGCUUGUAACUUCAUCUAAUAAAAUUAUUCAGCUUUGAUUC